rnacentral:lncRNA from 1 species
UUGUGGUUUUCUCCUAAUUUCUCUAAAGUUUUUUGAGGCUGAGGUCAUUCCUGAAUCUCUAAUCAAGCUACUGGCAAGCUCUGUUGCCAUAACAGAGCUUGGGCAACCAAUCAGUGAGCCUAAAUGCUCUGGUUUCCAUAUUUUUUCUUAUUUCCUUCGUGCUACUUGUUGUGGACCACCACCUCAACCUCGACUGACCAUAUGGCCGAGAUAAGCAAGAACUACAAAAUCAUCUUUAAGACACAGUUCGGACUUCGGCUAUGAUCGAGGUGUUCAC